GACGAACCGUGCGAACGUUGUUCGGAAUCACUGGGCUUAAAGGGCGCGUAGGCGGGCGAUCAAGUCAGGGGUGAAAUCCUCCGGCUCAACCGGAGAACUGCCUUUGAUACUGGUCAUCUCGAGUGAGGUAGGGGCAUGCGGAACUGAUGGUGGAGCGGUGAAAUGUGUUGAUAUCGGAAGGAACACCGGUGGCGAAAGCGGCGCGCUGGAUCUCUUCUGACGCUGAGGCGCGAAAGCCAGGGGAGCAAACGGG
rnacentral:rRNA from 1 species